GCACUGGAAACAGCUGAUUUUUACACACACAGAAAUAUCCCCUCCCUGCACUGAUACCUAACUUUAUUUCCACCUAAGCUGGAUUUGGAGAAAAAAAUAAGCAACAUUUGCCUUUGAUCCCAGAACCCUGCCUACUUCUGCCUCCCAGGUGUUGGGAUUAAAGGCAUGUGCCAGCACCGCCUGGGGCCAAUGGAGCUUCUAACCAGUUCUAUGUUACAGGACAAACUCAAGACUAUUUGACAGGACGUAAUUGCAGGAGCCAUCCCAGACCCUAGGAAUCAAAGAUACAUUUCCCUACAGUCACUGUGCUUAUACUGACAAGCCUGGACCACCACCACUUUCUCAGCUGAGAAGACUGGAUUCAGAGAGGUUCAUGGGCUUCUUGGAGAUCCCACAGCACAGGCAGAGAGACAGGAGGCCCUGUUGGUGAGCUGGGACAGGGUAUGGGCUAUACUCACCACUGUCAGCCAGGAAGUGCAGGGCGCUAGGGUGGUGUGCCAGGUAGCACAGACCCUGGAUCCAGCCGCUGCGCACACUUGGGAUGCUCCAGGCUGCCCAGCCGGGGGCACCUGACUCCCCAAAGAGCCCCAGCAACAACUCUCCCUGCUAGGAAGCAAAGAAAGCAUGAGAAAUGCGGAGGGAGCAGGGUUUAUUGUUGGCCGUUUUCAGGACGGGAGAGUCAUGCUUGGUAGUACAUCCUUUAAUCCUGGCACUCAGAGGCAGAAGCAGGUGAGUCUCCUUGAAUUCUAGAUGAGCCAAGAAUACAUGGUAAGAUCUCAUCUCAAGAAAGAACACAUGGGGCUGGAGCGAUGGCUCAGGGCUUAGGAGCACUGACUGCUUCAGUAAAGAAACCUGGCUCAGGUCCCAACACCCACACGGUGGCUCACAACUGUAUAAAUCCCAGUUCCGGGAGAUGUGACGCCCUCUUCUGAUCUCCACAAGAACUGCAUGGAUGUGGUCCAGAGACAUACACAUAGGCAAAACACCCACAGACGUAAAAUAAAAAUAAAUACCAGGGGGGAAAAAAAAACACCAGAUGUGGUGGUGCACUUCUUUAAUUCCAGCAUCUGGGAGGCAGAGGCAGGCAGAUCUAUGUGAGUUAGGCCAGCCUGGUCUAUAUAGCAAGCUCCAGGACAGCCAGGACUACAUAGAGAGACACUGUGUCAAAGUAAUAGUAAUAAUAAUAAAUGAAAGACAACAACAAAACAAAAAACCAAGAGGAUGGGUGGAAGUGCCAGUUGGUUUCACACAACUGUUCCCGGACCCCAUACCACCGCUCUGCCCUCCUGAGAUGGGAAAGAGGUCAGAGGAAGAACACCACAUUUCUUUUCUUCCUCCUUUCUUUAUAAGAUUUUUGUUAUUUUAAAGUUCUCUAGUUACACAUCUGUGGGUCUAUGUCCAUGAAUGUGGAAGCCAGAGGAGGGCGACAGAUGCCCGAGACCUGGAGCUCCCUGACUGUGGCAAGCAGUUGCUUCACCUAGAACACUGUGUUCUUUCCCCCAUGCGAUCCAUGACCGUGCUACAGACAAAGCAUCAGGAGUGUCCUAGGGGCCUCACACUGCCCUAGGACAGAGAGAGAUACUCAGAUGGUGGCCAAGGAUCACACAGUGGGUGACAACAGGAAGUCAGCCAGCAACGUCCCUGGCAAAUGUUUCUAAGUAGGAGCAAUGUGGGAUGACAGUGGACUUAAGAAUCCUGGUGUGCUGGCCAGCCACAGGAGCAGGGCCAGCCACUGAGAUCCAGGCACUGAGAUGGCUCCUACUCCAGAAGAGAGGAUGGCCGCCCUCUGGGGACAAGCACGUGGGAGACAAAGGCUCACCUGAAGGUACUCAAAACAGUCUUCCUGGGCUGCGAAGACCCCAACAAGGCGCAGAGCAAAGGAGAGGACCCUAGGGCUCACGUCCUGUGGCUUCAGCACAUGGGACAGGAGCUCCAUUAAGCAGGGAUGGUCCUGUAGUAGUUGGAGGCUAGACUCUGUGGAGAAAAGACGUCCAGGAGAACAGUGACCAUGGACAGCCUCUCUAGAAGUGGCUCCAACAUCCCUUCCCCUUAGGAUUAAGGAGUCCAAGAAAGAUGGGUAUGUACAACAAUGGCUCCUAACCUGAACUCAUUAAAGAGACCCCAAAGGCAUGGUGCGACAUGCCUAUAAUCCCAGCAUUUAGAAGGUGGAGGCAGAUGGCUCAUGAAUUCAAGGUUAUCCUCAGCCACCUACAAAUUCAUGGAUAACUUGGGUUACAGGUAAGUCUGCCU
rnacentral:lncRNA from 1 species